rnacentral:rRNA from 1 species
CUUAACCGGGCGUUAAGUUGCAGGGUAUAGACCCGAAACCCGGUGAUCUAGCCAUGGGCAGGUUGAAGGUUGGGUAACACUAACUGGAGGACCGAACCGACUAAUGUUGAAAAAUUAGCGGAUGACCUGUGGCUGGGGGUGAAAGGCCAAUCAAACCGGGAGAUAGCUGGUUCUCCCCGAAAGCUAUUUAGGUAGCGCCUCGUGAAUUCAUCUCCGGGGGUAGAGCACUGUUUCGGCUAGGGGGCCAUCCCGGCUUACCAACCCGAUGCAAACUGCGAAUACCGGAGAAUGUUAUCACGGGAGACACACGGCGGGUGCUAACGUCCGUCGUGAAGAGGGAAACAACCCAGACCGCCAGCUAAGGUCCCAAAGUCAUGGUUAAGUGGGAAACGAUGUGGGAAGGCCCAGACAGCCAGGAUGUUGGCUUAGAAGCAGCCAUCAUUUAAAGAAAGCGUAAUAGCUCACUGGUCGAGUCGGCCUGCGCGGAAGAUGUAACGGGGCUAAACCAUGCACCGAAGCUGCGGCAGCGAACGUAUCACUUAAAGCGAUUCAGCGGGUUACGAUUGACGGAGCGAAGCGACGUCAAAGCGUAUACAAAGUCGAGUCGGUUUAAGGAUACGUUCGUUGGGUAGGGGAGCGUUCUGUAAGCCUGUGAAGGUGGCCUGUGAGGGUUGCUGGAGGUAUCAGAAGUGCGAAUGCUGACAUAAGUAACGAUAAAGCGGGUGAAAAGCCCGCUCGCCGGAAGACCAAGGGUUCCUGUCCAACGUUAAUCGGGGCAGGGUGAGUCGACCCCUAAGGCGAGGCCGAAAGGCGUAGUCGAUGGGAAACGGGUUAAUAUUCCCGUACUUGGUGUUACUGCGAAGGGGGGACGGAGAAGGCUAUGUUGGCCGGGCGACGGUUGUCCCGGUUUAAGCGUGUAGGUGUGUGUUCCAGGUAAAUCCGGUUCACUUUAACACUGAGGCGUGAUGACGAGGCACUACGGUGCUGAAGCAACAAAUGCCCUGCUUCCAGGAAAAGCCUCUAAGCAUCAGGUAACAUCAAAUCGUACCCCAAACCGACACAGGUGGUCAGGUAGAGAAUACCAAGGCGCUUGAGAGAACUCGGGUGAAGGAACUAGGCAAAAUGGUGCCGUAACUUCGGGAGAAGGCACGCUGACACGUAGGUGAAGUGAUUUACUCACGGAGCUGAAGUCAGUCGAAGAUACCAGCUGGCUGCAACUGUUUAUUAAAAACACAGCACUGUGCAAACACGAAAGUGGACGUAUACGGUGUGACGCCUGCCCGGUGCCGGAAGGUUAAUUGAUGGGGUCAGCGCAAGCGAAGCUCCUGAUCGAAGCCCCGGUAAACGGCGGCCGUAACUAUAACGGUCCUAAGGUAGCGAAAUUCCUUGUCGGGUAAGUUCCGACCUGCACGAAUGGCGUAAUGAUGGCCAGGCUGUCUCCACCCGAGACUCAGUGAAAUUGAACUCGCUGUGAAGAUGCAGUGUACCCGCGGCAAGACGGAAAGACCCCGUGAACCUUUACUAUAGCUUGACACUGAACAUUGAGCCUUGAUGUGUAGGAUAGGUG